AAGUUGUCAGAGUUCCCCCCUCCAGACCCAGGUAAAGGCUGGUUUUGGUCUCCCUCUGGUGGAUCUGGGAGAGGUUGGCCUCGCACGCACCUGUCUCAGCUCUGCAAUCACGCACCUGCACCGGAGCCACAAUCACCAGGGUAUAAGAGGGAGAGCCUGACAACCGGCCGACGUCGGAUCGUUACUCACGUCACUGACACCUGUCUGGAUUCCUGCACGUGGGAGGAGCACUGGGCACCGCGCACUGUCGAGGAGAUCAUCACCCGGGACCCCAUCCUUCAUCUGCACUCCUCACGCCCGCUCCUGCUGCACCUCCACAGUCGUGUCGAUUAAUAAACUGUUAAAUUCA